rnacentral:rRNA from 1 species
ACUUGGAGGAUGUAUAGCGAAAGCUAGUUGUAUUAACUUCGACUAGUUCGAAGUUUAUGCAAGAUCGACUAUGUCGAAUAAAGUUCUAGGUAGAGUUAUGAUAAUGACAUUUUCUAUCUAUAUGUCUUGACCAAGUCACGUGCCAGCAGUCGCGGUAAUACGUGGAAGACUAGUGUUAUUCAUCUUUAAUAGGUUUAAAGGGUACUUAGACGGUAAAUUUAGCCCAAAUAAAAAACAAAGGGUACUAAUAAUACUAGAGUUUUAUGCGAGGAGGAAGUGUAAUAGUGGUGGAGGGAUGAAAUUCUGUCAUACCAUUAUGACAGGCAACGGCGUAAGCAACCUUUAUGUAAAAACUGACGUUAAAGGACGAAGGCUUUGUGUCACCAACAGGAUUAGAUACCCAAGUAAUCUUAGCAGACAAUUAUGAAUGCCAUAGAUAAGAUAAGAUACGUUAUCUCAUCGUCCGCUACGGGAGACUGAGCGGACGAUGAAUAGAUAAAUAACAGUGUUAUUUUUCUUUUUUUUUAAUAACACCCAGGGUAAGCAAAAAAAAGAACCUUAUUGCCACAGGUAAGGUAAAGUAUCAAUAUAAUGUCUAUAAAUGAAAGUGUAAGCAUUCCACCUCAAGAGUAAUGUGGCAACGCACAAACUGAAAUCAUUAGACCGUUUCUGAAACCAGUAGUGAAGUAUGUUGUUUAAUUUGAUGGUCCGCACAAAACCUUACCACAAUUUGUAUGCUUUGGUCUAUACAGGAGUUGCACGGCUGUCUUCAGUUAAUGUCGUGAGAUUUUGGUUAGUUCCAUAAAAUUAACGUAAACCCUUACUUUAUUUAUAUUAUAAAGUAGUUCACCGCUAUAUUGGAUAUGAUAAUGGGGACUAAGACAAGUCAUCAUGGCCUGA